rnacentral:tRNA from 1 species
GCAUCGGUGGUUCAGUGGUAGAAUGCACGCCUGCCACGCGGGCUGCCAUGGUUCGAUUCCAGGCCGAUGCA